rnacentral:rRNA from 1 species
UACGGGGGGGGCAAGCGUUGUUCGGAAUUACUGGGCGUAAAGGGCUCGUAGGCGGCCAACUAAGUCAGACGUGAAAUCCCUCGGCUUAACCGGGGAACUGCAUCUGAUACUGGAUGGCUUGAGUUCGGGAGAGGGAUGCGGAAUUCCAGGUGUAGCGGUGAAAUUCGUAGAUAUCGGGAGGAACACCAGUGGCGAAGGCGGCGAUCUGGGAAGAUACUGACGCUGAGGUGCGAAAGCGUGGGGAGCAAACAGG